rnacentral:rRNA from 1 species
AGUGAACGCUGGCGGUAGGCCUAACACAUGCAAGUCGAACGGCAGCACAGUAAGAGCUUGCUCUUACGGGUGGCGAGUGGCGGACGGGUGAGGAAUACAUCGGAAUCUACUUUUUCGGGGGGGAUAACGUAGGGAAACUUACGCUAAUACCGCAUACGACCUACGGGUGAAAGCAGUGGAUCUUCUGACCUUGCGCGAUUGAAUUAGCCGAUGUCGGAUUAGCUAGUUGGCGGGGUAAAGGCCCACCAAGGCGACGAUCCGUAGCUGGUCUGAGAGGAUGAUCAGCCACACUGGAACUGAGACACGGUCCAGACUCCUACGGGAGGCAGCAGUGGGGAAUAUUGGACAAUGGGCGCAAGCCUGAUACAGCCAUACCGCGUGGGUGAAGAAGGCCUUCGGGUUGUAAAGCCCUUUUGUUGGGAAAGAAAAGCAGCAGGUUAAUACCCAGCUGUUCUGACGGUAACCAAAGAAUAAGCACCGGCUAACUUCGUG